rnacentral:rRNA from 1 species
GAUGAACGCUGGCGGCGUGCCUAAUACAUGCAAGUCGAGCGAACAGACGAGGAGCUUGCUCCUCUGACGUUAGCGGCGGACGGGUGAGUAACACGUGGAUAACCUACCUAUAAGACUGGGAUAACUUCGGGAAACCGGAGCUAAUACCGGAUAAUAUAUUGAACCGCAUGGUUCAAUAGUGAAAGACGGUUUUGCUGUUACUUAUAGAUGGAUCCGCGCCGCAUUAGCUAGUUGGUAAGGUAACGGCUUACCAAGGCAACGAUGCCUAGCCGACCUGAGAGGGUGAUCCGCCACACUGGAACUGAGACACGGUCCAGACUCCUACGGGAGGCAGCAGUAGGGAAUCUUCCGCAAUGGGCGAAAGCCUGACGGAGCAACGCCGCGUGAGUGAUGAAGGUCUUCGGAUCGUAAAACUCUGUUAUUAGGGAAGAACAAAUGUGUAAGUAACUAUGCACGUCUUGACGGUACCUAAUCAGAAAGCCACGGCUAACUACGUG